AGUAACUGCCAUCUCUUUGGAACGAACGAACCCAAGAAAAAACCGCCAUCUAGGGUUUUAAACUAAACCCUGCAACUGUUAAUCCUUGGACCAAUUUCUCAGUCUUGCGCUUCGAUGGAGAAUCCAAAGAAGAAGAAGAAAACCAGUCAAAAUCCUGAGGCAAAGUUCCAAUUUGAGCUCAACUCAUGUUCCAAGGCUAAGGACCUGCGAGGCGCCAUAUCCCUCUAUGACGACGCCGUUUUGAACAAUACGCGCCUCAACCAACACCACUUCAAUGCCCUCCUCUACCUCUGCUCCAACUCCGUCGCCGACGACUUGCUCAAAACCACCGCACUCGAUUACGGUUUCCGCGCCUUCCGCCACAUGUCCUCUCUUGGCGUCGUUCCCAAUGAGGCCUCCGUCACUGCCGUUGCGCGCCUCGCUGCGGCCAAGGGUGACGCCGAUUAUGCCUUCGAGUUGGUGAAGGGCAUGGGCAAGUACAACAACGCUACCCCGAGGCUGCGAACCUACGAUCCUGCGUUGUUCUGUUUCUGUGAAAUGCUAGACGCGGAUAAGGCCUACGAGGUGGAGGAGCACAUGAAUGGCGUUGGGGUGAGUUUGGAGGAGGCGGAACUCGCCGCGCUUUUGAAGGUGAGUGCGCGGAGUGGUAGAGCGGACAAGGUGUAUGAGUAUUUGCAUAAUCUUAGAAGCUGUGUGAGGUGUGUUAGUGAGUCCACUGCGGUGGUUGUUGAGGAGUGGUUUUGUGGUGCCAAGGCCUCUGAGGUUGGUGAGGUGGAAUUUGAUGUGGGGCAGGUCAAAGAGGGGGUUUUGCGGAAUGGGGGAGGGUGGCAUGGUCAGGGAUGGAUUGGUAAAGGGGAUUGGGCCGUCAACAGAACGAGUGUUGGUGCCGAUGGACAUUGUUGUUGUUGUGGGGAGCAAUUGGUUUGUGUUGAUAUUGAUGAUUCGGAGACGGAGAAGUUUGCAGGGUCUGUUGCUGGCUUGGCCUUGGAACGAGAGGUCAAGGCCAAUUUUAGUGAAUUUCAGGCCUGGCUUGAAAAGCAUGACGCUUAUGAAGCUAUAGUGGAUGGAGCAAAUGUUGGGCUCUACAAACAAAAUUUUGCUGAUGGUGGAUUUGGCAUUUCUCAGCUUGAUUGUGUUGUAAAAGAACUUUACAAUCAGAGUGGGAAUAAAUGGCCGCUCGUUGUGCUGCACAAUAAGCGCCUAAGAGGGCUAAUGGAAAAUCCUUCCAGCAGGAAACUGGUGGAGGAGUGGAUGAAUAAUGGUGCACUGUAUACAACUCCUAAUGGGUCCAAUGAUGAUUGGUAUUGGCUCUUUGCCGCAGUAAAACUUAGGUGUUUGCUUGUGACAAAUGAUGAAAUGCGAGAUCACAUAUUUGAACUCAUAGGAAGUAACUUUUUUAACCAGUGGAAAGAAAGACAUCAGGUUCACUACACUUUUAUGAAAGGAAACCUAAAGCUUCAGAUGCCUCCAUCAUAUUCAUUGGUUAUCCAGGUAAUGUUGGAGUGGCCACUCUACUACUGUUCCUUCUGGGAUGCGCUUGCAUUUUGUUCUGUGUGACAACUUAGUAGUUUUGAUCUUUUGGUAUUCGAGGGGAGAUGGUAGGAAGUUAGGACUUAGGGACCCAAGAUUGAGGACUGAGGGUAAAGGGAUUCUAUUGUGUUCUGUCAGUGUAAGCUUCAAAACAUAAACGAAUCACAGACGAAGGAAAAAACAUAAGUGUAAAAGGGGCUGCUUUACUUCUUAAUUAGUUUCAUAUUACAAAAAUAGCGUAGAAACCGGUGAAGUUGUAUGUUUGGAAAUUGAAGUUGGAUAUCUGAUGAUUGUUAUUAGUGAAACAUUGUAUAAGAGCAUUGAGAUUAUUCACGUGGUAUCUAAGCUGAGCUUGCAAACAUAAAAAUCCUAACUACUUCAGCAUCCAAAAUGAAUCGGAAAAAGGUUAUUGGCAUGUGCCGCUAGCACCGGGCACUAGCAGUGAGUCUUCGAUAUGUUGGCUCUGCAUUACCCGGCCAAGUGGUCAUGAUGCUG